rnacentral:tRNA from 1 species
AAAAAGGUAAGCUAAAAUAAGCUACUGGGUUCAUACCCCAUUUAUAGAGUUAUUCUUCUUUUUA